AAUCACUAUGCAUAGGAAGUCAGAUGUGUAUAAUGUCAUUAAGCUUAAGUAAUUUUUAGGUGAACACGUGCAACUAUAAUAUAUAUGUGAAGCAUUCCUUUCUAUGAUCCGACUGUCUCUUCAUUUUAUGCAUUUCGCCACCUGAUAUUUAUUUUCAGGCUAAACUUUCUACCACAAUUUCUCUUUUCCACAGGAUUUACAAGUCAAAGCUUCUCCGUCAGUUCAAACCACACCACCGAUAAACAGCGAUCCUGCAAUUAUUCAGGCAAGUAGUACCACAACUGUUAUUUUUUUAAUUCAAUACUGAAUAUAACGAGAGUAUGAUCGUAGUUACAAGUUUAUGUUAAUUAAUUUGGGAUUUUUAUUGAACUUUUGAAAUGCACACUGUAAAUUAUAUUAGGAUGUUCUGUUUGAAAUGUAGAUUGUAAAUUAAAAUAGGUGUUUUUGUUUUGUACAGAUUGCAACUCCAAUAUAUUAGGGACCGAAUUUGAUGCUUUUGUUCAACUUCAACUACAUAUUCAGUGGAGUGUCGUCACUCGUCUACGGCAGUGAAGGGCCGUUGAGGCCGACUGGUGAAAUGGACCAGCCACUACUUUGCUCAGAUAUAUGUUCAUGGACUACCUGAAAACGCUACUCUUCUUGUGGCAUAAUGCUCCCAUGGAUCGUGUUCGGGGAGUUUUUGAGAUUAUUUUGAGGUACAGCGUGAUCCGAAGGCUCAUUUUUUGCUAUGUUUCUAUUCGUUGCUCACUCUUUUAUCGUCUUUUGUAUAAGGCAUGACUUAGUAUCUUCGGUAACAAAUAUUUCAUUCUUUAUGGAACGAUCGUUUAUGUUGCCUACGUUACAAAUGGGAAUAAUAUAGGUUGUGAAAAAAUUGUGUUAAUCGAUU